rnacentral:rRNA from 1 species
UACAGAGGUCCCAAGCGUUGUUCGGAUUCACUGGGCGUUAAGGGGGCGUAGGUGGUGAGGUAAGUCGGAUGUGAAAGCUCGGAGCUCAACUCCGAAAUGGCAUUGGAAACUACCUCGCUAGAGGAUCGGAGGGGAGACUGGAAUUCUCGGUGUAGCAGUGAAAUGCGUAGAUAUCGAGAGGAACACCAGUGGCGAAGGCGAGUCUCUGGACGAUUCCUGACGCUGAGGCACGAAAGCCAGGGGAGCAAACGGG